AGCUUUUCGAGUCCAUGCAGUGAUUUCGUCAGACACCAAGCCACUAGGGUUGAUAGGACUUCCAAGAUAAGUGAAAUU
rnacentral:pre_miRNA from 1 species